AUUUGGUUAAGCUGGCUGAUGUGGUGCUGACAGACUUGCCCAAAUAACUCAGGAUCUGUAUGUACACACCACAGAUUGCUAUUCUCUAUGCCUUUAAAGAUAAGCAUUGCAGGGCUUGGGUCUUGGGCACGCCGGAUUCAGUCUGGAAGUGCCUCUUCCCAUGAAGAUUAGUGUACAUCACUUACAUUGACUGCCCACCUUGUUUUCCUUCAUUUUGCAGACAGCAAACAUCCUUAUCUACCAAGAGCCACUUUAAAAUGAGGUACAAAGCCAGAUGGUGGGACAGUCUGCAACACUAAGGACUGAACACAGAAUGUCCUUUCUGAUGCCUUUUUUCUGGGUAUAGCAAAAGCUACUGGUACCUACAAAUUACAGUUUCUUUCUGCUUUUGAGCCAAGAAAGGAUGAACUGCUGUGAGCUACACUGAACAUCUGAGGAAGUGGAUGGGGAAAGGCAUCACCACAAGAGGCAGAACUGGAACCAGCAAUUCAAAUCUGACAAUCAAAGAGAUGCAGGUGCCACUGCAGCCUUGCCUAAGGACCAUGGGCCUGCCCUGCUUGCCACUGCCUGCUUGUAUCCUCCUGGAGCAUGAGAAAGGACCAGUCCCUCCAGUUAACUCAUAUGGAACAGUGGUGAGGCCUGGGACUCCAUGUUCUUCUCUGAGGAAGAUUUAAUCUGUCUGGCUCUUAUUACCACCCUGUUGCUCUUUGAUCAAGGAUUAUUUAAGCUAUUAUUGAAAUAUUGUGCUCAGUCCUCUAUUACAGCUGGUAUUCACAGAAACAAUAGCUCUCUCUAGCUGAGCAAAUAAUGUUGAGCUGUUUCUUUUAGACAGAAUUCCACAUACUCACUUUAUGUUACUUUCACGCUGCUGGUCAGGAACAAUGAUACUUGUCCAGGGACACAAAUAAUUACUGGGAAUCAUAUUUUGGUGACAUUUCCAGCAAGCUUCUACAAUGGAAAACCUUUUGCAGCAUUUCCAGUUCCUAGGCAUUUCUUUAGGAAUCAGACAUUCAACUGGCUUUCAGGUUUUCUAUUCUGACAAGCUCAAGACUUCCUCACUGUGCUUCCAUUCUUUAAAUUUUAGCAAUGUUUGUGAAACGUCAGACAUCAAAAUCAGUCUUUCUUUUGUCAGAUAUGAAAGAUUAUUGUCUGGAAAAAUCAGCAGCCACUAAUUUGCUAAACCCAUGCUGUUUGUUCUAAGGAUCUAGUAUAGACACCUCAGCUCCCAGGUAUUCUCAAGAUUAAGUGUUAGCACAAUAUCUUCUUUUUAGGCAAGACUGCUCAGAGCAGUGGAUACACAGAGCAAUGACCACAGACCAAGACUGAUGUAUUUAAAUGUUUGAUGUGGCUGCUCAGUUUAGAUACCUAACAUGGAAUAUAGAUGGGCAUGCAUUUUCAAAGGAGAUCUCUCUUAGUCUAGCCUGAAAAAUCAAGCAGCUGAAGGGGGCUUCAAGUCAAGCAUGACAAAGUAGUAGAUGCUAUGGAUAAUCAUGAACUUACAGCAAAGUUCCUGACAAGUUUUUUUCUUGCUUUUAAAUUGUUCCUGAGAAUCACAGAAUCAUAGAAUGAUGGAAUGGUUUGGGUUGGAAGGGAACUUAAAGACCAUCUAGUUCCACCUGCCCUUGUCAUGGGCAGGGACACCUUCCGCUAGACAAGGUUACUCAAAUCCCCAUC
rnacentral:lncRNA from 14 species